rnacentral:rRNA from 1 species
UGGGGAAUAUUGGACAAUGGGGGCAACCCUGAUCCAGCAAUGCCGCGUGUGUGAAGAAGGUUUUCGGAUUGUAAAGCACUUUCGACGGGGACGAUGAUGACGGUACCCGUAGAAGAAGCCCCGGCUAACUUCGUGCCAGCAGCCGCGGUAAUACGAAGGGGGCUAGCGUUGCUCGGAAUGACUGGGCGUAAAGGGCGUGUAGGCGGUUUGUACAGUCAGAUGUGAAAUCCCCGGGCUUAACCUGGGAGCUGCAUUUGAUACGUGCAGACUAGAGUGUGAGAGAGGGUUGUGGAAUUCCCAGUGUAGAGGUGAAAUUCGUAGAUAUUGGGAAGAACACCGGUGGCGAAGGCGGCAACCUGGCUCAUAACUGACGCUGAGGCGCGAAAGCGUGGGGAGCAAACAGGAUUAGAUACCCUGGUAGUCCACGCUGUAAACGAUGUGUGCUAGAUGUUGGGUAACUUAGUUAUUCAGUGUCGCAGUUAACGCGUUAAGCACACCGCCUGGGGAGUACGGCCGCAAGGUUGAAAC